rnacentral:rRNA from 1 species
AUACGUAGGUGACAAGCGUUAUCCGGAUUUACUGGGCGUAAAGGGCGUGUAGGCGGUCUUGCAAGUCAGAAGUGAAAUUUCUGAGCUCAACUCGGGCGCUGCUUCUGAAACUGCAGGACUUGAGUGCUGGAGGGGAUAGCGGAAUUCCUAGUGGAGCGGUAAAAUGCGCAGAUAUUAGGAAGAACACCGGUGGCGAAGGCGGCUAUCUGGACAGUAACUGACGCUGAGGCGCGAAAGCGUGGGGAGCAAACAGGAUUAGAUACCCUGGUAGUCCACGCUGUAAACGAUGAAUACUAGGUGUGGGGGGACUGACCCCCUCCGUGCCGCAGUUAACACAAUAAGUAUUCCACCUGGGGAGUACGAUCGCAAGAUUGAAACUCAAAUGAAUUGACGGGG